CAGACAGGUUUUUAAACCGGCAGCUUGACGAAACACCGCGGAAAGCCUGGGGCCCGCGGGGCGGCGGCGUGUGUGUGUGUAACGCGAGUGAGAGGGACAGAAAGACAGAGAGACGUUACUGGAACAGAGGCUGACUGACCUAUGCCGUGUCCACACUGAUGCUGCGCCGAGAAACCAGUCGCUGCUGACACUGACCGUCGCGUACAUCCCAAGGUCUCAUUCCCGAAGUGGGUCUCCGAAGUCUGUCGUCGUCGUUGUUGUUGUUGUUGUUGUUGUUGGCGGGGGGUCGCGAGCUCCCCGCUGAGAGGAGGAGCGGCCGAUUAGAAAACACGAUCACGCUCGCGCUCGCUCACACAUGGACAAACCGCGUUCCGAGGCAGCUCGAGCGUGCACGAGCGCCUGCGUGCGCCCAACCACCGCCGGUACUCGCGCGCCGCCUGGGAUUCCCUACAGUGUGGAAACAGGCCCUUCACCCCAACAAGUCCACACCAACCCUCUGAAGAGCAACCCACCCAGACCCAUUCCCCUCCAUUUAUCCCUUCACCUAACACAACGGGCAAUUUGCCAUGGCCAGUUUACCUAACAUGCACAUUUUUGGACUGUGGGAGGAAACUGGAGCAUCCGGAGGAAACCCAUGCAGACACGGGGAGAAUAUGCAAACUCCACACAGACAGUUGCCCAAGGCGGAAAUUGAACCCGGGUCUCUGGCGCUGUAAGGCAGCAGUGUUAGCCACUGUGCCACCAUGCUGCCAUUCUGGUUUUUAAUAUCUCAUCAUGGAACCAUGAUUGGCAUUAUCUACGCUCUAUGUCACUCAUCACGAGAGGAGGUGUCAGAUCCGAUCAGAAGGGUUUGUCGGGAAUGAUUGAGAUGGGAAGUUCAAGGUCCGGGCCAGCAACAGGAGGUGUUGGGUUCUGAGGAAAAUGGGAUCAUGUUAGAUUGGAGUUCUAGUCAGAGGGAUGAUUGUCAGGGUCUGUGAGUGUGUAAGUGGUUGGGAUGGUGUAAUUUGGUGGGGGGAGGUGGUUGUGGGCUUUAUUAUAAUUGUUAUUUAGGAAUUUAAAUAGAAUGUUAAUCCUCAAAUUUUUCAUGAAUAACAACUGAAAUUUAAUACUCUGAAUCAAUGUUUAGGUUCUUUCAGAGGUUCCAAAUGCAGUCAUUGGAAUCUUCAAUUUCCUGGGCAAUUCCCAUUGAAUUUGCUGCAUCUGGAAUUCCACAGGGAUCCAAAGUGCUGCUCCAAUAACUCUGUGGUUAUCAGAAUAUCCAGCUCCACCCCACCACCCCCUCUCCAGUAUUACAAAGCUCCCUUUAAUCAAUAAUAGCUCAGAGACGCUAAUGAGCUGGGAUUUUUUUUCCCAGGAGUGACCAAACUGAAAACCAGGGUGUUAUGAGUCGAAAGGAUUAACAGAUUAAUUGAAAUGGGUUAACAGAAAUGUGCCCAGAGUGAUGAUCAUACCUAUGAAACUCGAGAGUAAAAGCUGUUGUCAGAUAGAACCUUCGAUCUGCCCUGUGUGAAUAAAGCAUAUUGUGGAACAGUGUAGUUCCAGACUCACAUUUGUGCAGUGAGCUUGUAUCAGCAAUUCUUGAUUUUAUUUUAAGUAUAAUUUGCUUGUUAAUUCAUGUGAAAUUUAUGUUAAUUCUGGCUUGUGUUAAGUAAAAAAAUAUAAAACCUGGAA